rnacentral:miRNA from 1 species
ACGUUUGUACCCAUUUAGCC